UUAUUUUCUUAUACUUGAUUCAGACACAAAUAACAAAUUGUAGCAUAAAAGCGGCGUCAAAGCGCCGAAGCACACGUUGCUUCCACGGGUUUGCAAGGUUGAAGGCCCAGAGGCCAUUCGUUAAUGAUCCCUCCGCAGGUUCACCUACGGAGA
rnacentral:misc_RNA from 1 species